GAAUUUAAUCCAAAACAUGGCUCCAUACAUUCAAUCAAUCCCAACCAUUUCCAUAAUGUGCGAAACUUGUAACACCAUAAAUACCGACACCCUCACCAUCUCGGCACCCCCACAACUCCGCAACACCUUCUCCUAACUUCGCACCAUCGUCGGAGAAGUCGAGAACGUCGGAAAACCUCCGCUCCGUUCUUUAUUUCAUUUCGCCGCAGCCCCGGAACUCGUAGACGACACCGGAGCCGUACGGGAUCACCGCGGAGAUCGUUCACUACGUUCGGUAUAAUUCUUCUAAUCCUUUUUUUUUCUUUUUUUUCAUUUCGAUAUGUUACAACUAUAAUUUCCUUCUUUGAUAUUAUAAGCUUUCAAGUAAAUGGCAAGUUAGAAAACUUGCAUAUUAGUCGAACAGGAUCUUGUUCUUUUCAAAUGACAAGUAAAAUGAAAAGCAACAGCAUUUUCUUAAACGCAUCCUACCUAUUGGAACUUUAACAAUUUUCUUUGUUUUAUUUUAGUUUUAUUUUUAAUUUGUUAAAUUCAAUAACAAUUUACAUAAAAUUUAGUGUAACUCCUUUAUAAUUAACGGGUUAUUAUUAGAUAAACCAUAAUAAUUAAUUUAUAAACAAUGUCGUUUAUUUUUAAUAAAUAAUUAAUGAGUUAUUCUAAUUCUUUAAACAUUAAUAAGGUGAUAAAAUAUACUUAAAUUGUAAAUCAUAAACAUUAGGGAAUAUAUUUAAUCUACAACUUGUAACGAAUUCGUUAUGUGUUAUUCUAAAUAUUUAGGGUAACCAUCCCGUUCGUUCCUUUGGAUUUUCCAUCUUACUCGUGCGUUAUUUACAAGAAAUCGCAACGCAAUCAAUGUGAGUAUACAUGACCCAUUUUCGUUUUACACUUUUGGGUGCAAUAUGUAUUCUAUAUCAAACAACACAAUCACGUUAAACAUUUUAUGCACACUCUAUCCUUACUCUAUGUGAUACAUUUUAAUCAUGUUGGACAUGUUAUGCUAUUGUAAACACUCAUGACUAUGUGUUCAUUAACUUUGCAAGCCUCCCCUAACAAUGGUAGCGCUAUAGGUUGAGAAACGCCCCUCCCGUUAUAUUAACGGGUAUUGUUAGGUUAAACUAUGUUAAAAACCACCCUUUUGGGUUGGACACGUUAAUUGCGUUAAACUUUGGUUUGGACAUAUAGAGUAACAUCGUUUCGAGUAUAUACUGUUUACAUGAUAUUGUAUUUCACAUUUGGAUAUGAGCAACAUUUUAAACACGUUGAAUGUUCAAGAAUCAAGAAACAAGCUAGGAUGGCUUUAGAAACCCAUUUUAGCAUUUUAGUUAAGGAUUGAAUUUAUGUUUGUUUAUUUGAGACAAUGUACCUUACUUUAGAAUUUAAUAAAAUGAUUUAAUUUAUAUUGUC
rnacentral:lncRNA from 1 species